rnacentral:rRNA from 1 species
UGGGGAAUUUUGCGCAAUGGGGGAAACCCUGACGCAGCAACGCCGCGUGAGUGAUGAAGGCCUUCGGGUCGUAAAGCUCUGUCAGAGGGGAAGAAAUGCAGGGGUGCUAAUAUCAUCUUUGCUUGACGGUACCCUCAAAGGCAGCACCGGCUAACUCCGUGCCAGCAGCCGCGGUAAUACGGAGGGUGCGAGCGUUGUUCGGAAUUAUUGGGCGUAAAGCGCGUGUAGGCGGUUUGGUAAGUCUGAUGUGAAAGCCCCGGGCUCAGC